rnacentral:rRNA from 1 species
GACAGAGGGUGCAAACGUUGUUCGGAAUUACUGGGCAUAAAGAGCACGUAGGUGGUCUGCUAAGUCACGUGUGAAAUCCCCCGGCUCAACCGGGGAAUAGCGCUUGAUACUGGCAGGUUCGAGGUGGGUAGGGGUGAGUGGAACUCCAGGUGGAGCGGUGAAAUGCGUAGAUAUCUGGAGGAACACCGGUGGCGAAAGCGGCUCACUGGACCCAAUCUGACACUGAGGUGCGAAAGCUAGGGUAGCAAACAGG